rnacentral:rRNA from 1 species
CGAGCGCACUCUUCGGAGUGAGCGGCGGACGGGUUAGUAACGCGUGGGAACGUACCCUUUUCUAAGGAAUAGCCUCGGGAAACUGAGAGUAAUACCUUAUACGCCCUUCGGGGGAAAGAUUUAUCGGAGAAGGAUCGGCCCGCGUUAGAUUAGAUAGUUGGUGGGGUAAUGGCCUACCAAGUCUACGAUCUAUAGCUGGUUUUAGAGGAUGAUCAGCAACACUGGGACUGAGACACGGCCCAGACUCCUACGGGAGGCAGCAGUGGGGAAUCUUGGACAAUGGGCGCAAGCCUGAUCCAGCCAUGCCGCGUGAGUGAUGAAGGCCUUAGGGUCGUAAAGCUCUUUCGCCAGAGAUGAUAAUGACAGUAUCUGGUAAAGAAACCCCGGCUAACUCCGUGCCAGCAGCCGCGGUAAUACGGAGGGGGUUAGCGUUGUUCGGAAUUACUGGGCGUAAAGCGCACGUAGGCGGAUCAGAAAGUAUAGGGUGAAAUCCCAGGGCUCAACCCUGGAACUGCCUUGUAAACUCCUGGUCUUGAGUUCGAGAGAGGUGAGUGGAAUUCCGAGUGUAGAGGUGAAAUUCGUAGAUAUUCGGAGGAACACCAGUGGCGAAGGCGGCU